rnacentral:rRNA from 1 species
GACGAACGCUGGCGGCGUGCUUAACACAUGCAAGUCGAACGGAAAGGCCCUGCUUUUGUGGGGUGCUCGAGUGGCGAACGGGUGAGUAACACGUGAGUAACCUGCCCUUGACUUUGGGAUAACUUCAGGAAACUGGGGCUAAUACCGGAUAGGAGCUCCUGCUGCAUGGUGGGGGUUGGAAAGUUUCGGCGGUUGGGGAUGGACUCGCGGCUUAUCAGCUUGUUGGUGGGGUAGUGGCUUACCAAGGCUUUGACGGGUAGCCGGCCUGAGAGGGUGACCGGCCACAUUGGGACUGAGAUACGGCCCCGACUCCUACGGGAGGCAGCCGUGGGGAAUAUUGCCCAAUGGGCGGAAGCCCGAUGCAGCAACGCCGCGUGCGGGAUGACGGCCUUCGGGUUGUAAACCGCUUUCGCCUGUGACGAAGCGUGAGUGACGGUAAUGGGUAAAGAAGCACCGGCUAACUACGUG